rnacentral:rRNA from 1 species
UACGUAGGGUGCAAGCGUUGUCCGGAAUUAUUGGGCGUAAAGGGCGCGUAGGCGGCUUGGCAAGUGGAUGGUGAAAUCCCUCGGCUUAACCGAGGAACGGCCGUCCAAACUGCUUCGCUUGAGACCGGGAGAGGUGAGUGGAAUUCCCAGUGUAGCGGUGAAAUGCGUAGAUAUUGGGAGGAACACCAGUGGCGAAGGCGGCUCACUGGACCGGUACUGACGCUGAAGCGCGAAAGCGUGGGGAGCAAACGGG